rnacentral:lncRNA from 1 species
ACCACAGUGUUGAGAAUUCUAGAAUUUGUUACAAAUGGACUCAUACAGGAUAUCGUCUUUUGUGUUUAAUUUCUUCCACAGAGCAGAAUGAUUCUGGGAUUCAUCCAUGGUGUGGAGUGUGUUACUCUUUCAUUCUUCUACUGUUGAGUUGUAUUCCACCAUAGGGCGUUUAUCCAUUCAACCUAUUGGUUGCCAUGUGGGUUGUGACCACUUUUUGACCACUAUGAACAGUGCUACAAUGGACACUGUGUAGAUGUGUUUAUAGGAAUGUAUGUCUACAUUUCUCUUAGGUAAACAUCUAAGGCAUUUCGAGAACACAGAAAAGGUUUUGAGUUUGAGUCCAGGGAGCCCUCAUUUUGUCAUCCUCCAGGCUGCCCCCCUCCCACCCCAUUCCCUGGAGAGUUCAACUCCAAACCCUAUAUCCCAGCUAUCUGUUUGGCUCAGCUACCAAAUGUCAUCCUAUUCCGAAUAGAAACCUCUCCACUACACUAAGGAAAUGAUGGGAAGAGACCCCAAAACAUUCUUAAAAUGGGCAUUCAUUUGAAUCAGGCCAAAUAAAUUGGACUCUGGGUCAGAGAUAACUUAAGUGUGGUGUUCGGAGUCCUAAGAGCCCCCACUAGCUCAGAAAUGGACUUAGUUGACCUCCCCCAUUAGCAGCAUGGAGAGUCAAGGAGAUGACUUCUACCUUGCCAAAGGCCUUGGGAAGAAAGACAGCAUCAAGGUCUCACACAACACUCCAGGGAGGCAGCUGCUGCCCAGUGCUGUGGACAGCAAAGCUUCAGUGCAGGAAAUUAAGAUUCCCCCUGCCUCCCCCUCCCCCAUCCUCAUCAGCUUGGCCAUGGCAGGGCUGGGGGAUCAGAGGUGAACAGGAAGCAGAAGGACCCCUGGGGGAGACAGGGCCUCCAGUGGGACCAGAGCUGAGUGGCCUCAGGCAGUGGCGGAAGCUGAUUAAAGGAAGGUACGGGGAGUGGAGGGGAAGUGGACAAAAGACAGGACAGCCAUCUUAGACAACAAUGCAAGGGGGAGAAACUGAAGAAAACAGAACAGAGACCACUACUGGCAAUAAACAGAGAGAAAGUGAAGCCCCAUGGGUGAGGCACACCUACAUUACUUAAGAAACCUGAGCACAUUCUUACGCCUAGGGCAAUAAAUACAUCCUUGAGCUACACAGGCUAAGCAAGAGUGAGAGAGGGUGAUGCUGACAGGCCACAUGGGAGAGUGGGAAGACGUGGGCUGGGAGCUGGGAGUUUGGCUUCUCAUCUGUGCAUGGCCUCUAAACUGGGCAGUGACCAUGGCCUGGUCACCUCCCCACUCUGGACCUGGGUUGCCCCUCUGUAAACAAGGAGGUUGUAAUAAAUUAUCUCCAAUACCCUAAUGUCUUAUAAAUCUUAUGCAAUUUUUGCCAAGAUGGGAGUAUGGGGAGAGAAGAGUGGAAACGGCCCAGAGCUCAGUGAGAUGAGAUAUCAAAGGGGACGAAAAGUGUUCAUUCCAUCUCCCUAAUCUCCAAUUGGCAAAGCCAGACUUGGGGCAAUACAGACUGGUUCUGUGAUGACAAAUAACUCCUAGCUCAUUCCUAAUGAUUUAUCACCAAAUGUUCUUUCUUCAGCUGGAAUUUAAAAUAUGGACUCAUCCGUAAAAUAGGAAUAAUAAUAGUAUAUGCUUCAUAGGGUUUGUAUGAAAAUAAAAUGAGUGCGUAUUUGUAAAGUUCCUAGAGCAGAGUAAGUGCUCCGAGCUUGUGAACUAAAAUGCUGCCUCCUGGUAUUUAUUAGUUACACCUCAGCAGAAACAAAGUUAUCAGGCCCUUUCCCCAAUUCCUAGUUUGGGUCAGAAGAAAAGGGAAAAGGGAGAGGAAAAAGGAAAAGAAUAUGACGUCAGGGGGAGGCAAGUCAGUUGGGAACACAGAUCCUAACACAGUAGCUGGUACCUGAUAGGUGCCUAUAUGUGAUGGAUGGGUGGACAGCCCGACAGAUGAAAAAUGGACAAUUAUGAGGAGGGGAGAGUGCAGACAGGGGAAGCUUCACCUCCUUUACAAUUUUGGGAGUCCACACGGCAUGGCAUACAAAUUAUUUCAUUCCCAUUGAGAAAUAAAAUCCAAUUCUCCAUCACCAAGAGAGCCUUCCGAAAGAGGCCAAACCCUUCCUGGAGCCUGUGAUAAAAGCAACUGUUAGCUUGCACUAGACUAGCUUCAAAGUUGUAUUGACCCUGGUGUGUUAUGUCUAAGAGUAGAUGCCAUAUCUCUUUUCUGGCCUAUGUUAUUACCUGUAUGGACUUUGCACUGGAAUCAGCUAUCUGCUCUUACUUAUGCACACCUGGGGCAUAGAGCCAGCCCUGUAUCGCUUUUCAGCCAUCUCACUACAGAUAACUCCCAAGUCCUGUCUAGCUGCCUUCCUUAUCACAGGAAUAGCACCCAAGGUCCAUCAGUACCUCAGAGUAGAACCCCCUAUAAACUAGUCUGGUUUGCCCAUGGGGCACAGUCAGGCUGUUUUCCAGGGUGGGGUGCAGACAUUCUCUGCCUGUUGUGAUGCUUACAUAUAACGUCAUAACAGACACACGUAUGUGUUGUGAUCCCUGUGGUUUGAGAGUUUGGAGCUUCCCUAAAAGUCAAAAUAUUCUCAAUGGGCCCUCAAUCAGCACAUACACACAAAAGGUACCUGGAAAACUGUAAUUCUUUUCCUGCUCAAAGACAGGCAAUUCAAUACCCCUUCCCCCAACCAAAAACCCUUGCCACCAUGGGAGCCUGGGGCAGAGAAGGCACAGUGAAGUCAAACUGUAAUUCCAGGCUCUAAAUGGUGCUGUCAUUUUUCUGAGAGUCUCUAAAUUACAAGGGUGUUUUCACUAUUCUUAGCUAUUUUUUAAAACACCUAAGAAACAUACUGCAGCUCUGGAAAAGAGAACAAACAAACCAAAGAGAAGGGAUCCAGAGGUCACCCUCAUAUGUGAAAAGUCAAUUGAUAAUGAAGGCUUUAGGAUAACCGGAGGGGAGAUGAUUGAAAGCAAUGCACCUGUGCAGGAAAUGGAUUACGGAAACAGGGAAUUGUUCAUGAAAUCCCAGAAAACCAGAACCGGGAAAGUUCUGGAAGUCGGAAAAACAAAUCAUGACUUAAGCAAUGGAAGUCCAAUACACGUUUACAGAAUGCCUUGUCCCACGAGGCAACACAGGCUACCACAGAUGGGGGACAGGGUGGGAGUGGACCAUCCCAGUGGUGUUACUGAGGGGCAAAGGGAUAGCCCUAUGAGGCAAGUGUCCAGGGCAGAACUGGAGCUUUGUGAAACCAUUUCCCAGGCAGAGACAGAGCACUAGGCUGGUGCUGCCAGUCUGACAAUAAGUCUGCCAUUGUCCUCUGGUCAGCUCUGGACACACAGCAAAAGUGAGUUCAGAGUAGCCUGAAGCAGGAAAGAGGGAAGAGAGGAGGAUAACACCUAUCUUCCACUUUGCUGCAGGUUCAAGGCAAGGAUUUGAGACAGUUACCCCUUCUGGAAGAGCCUGGUGAGUACAUCUCUCCUGCCUUGUACAACCCUCUCUCCUCACCGACUUUCUCUCCCAGCAGCCAGCAGGGGCCUGGGCCAUUUAUGGAAUGCAAGCCCUGACCACACAGACUUACUUACAUGCCAGGACAGCCACCAGGUAGCCUUUCCCACUCUAGGUUCCACUGUGAGUGCUCUCUCUCUCUCUCUCUCUCACUAUGCUCCCAAGAGGAGUCUUACAUCAACCCCUUCCUCAAAUCUCCCUCACUGGAUGUCACAGUCAUAGGCCUGAAAAGCAGCAUGCAAACUGAAUUUUUGUAAAGCAGGACCCAUUUCCCCAUGGACAGUCAUAAGAGAUGAGUGAACACAAUGUAGCACUUAAUUUCUGUCUUCACGAUUACUUCACGAUAAAUCUGGAUUCCAAAGGGACUAUAAGCUCUCACAUGGAAGGAAGCAAGAUCUCUACUCCUCCCCCAGUGUUGAGUGGACAGGGAGUACACCGCAGACACCUGUUGGCCAACCAAUUCUAAUUCCCUUUAGCUAGCAUCCCCUAAGCUAGAGCUAGAGCUAGAGCUAUUUCCUUGCAGCCUUCCUUUUCUCUAGCAAAGUCCUUCCAUGCAGUAGCUAAUGACCUGUAAACACUUAAUGAGCUAGAGAAACAUUCCAUUGAAAGGAAUACCACUGUGCAUCCUUUUGUAAAGAGGGGGGAAAAUCUUUUGUAAAACGAAGCAUCGCCUUUAACUGCUCUGUUUGAUCAAGUCAGAUUUUUCAGAAUAUGAAUAGCUAGUAUUCAAGCAUAUAUGAACUGUCUUUAAGUUAAUCAAUCCCUAGAAACUAGCCCUCAGGUUAGCAGGCCAAGGAUAUAUGAGAGUGCUUUGAAGUCUAGACUUAAACUGCCGCUCCUGAAUUGAAUUAGAACAUUCCAGGUAGACAGAUUCAUGGCCCCUAACAUCAGGAAUCAGCUAGAAACUCAAUCGGCUCUUACCAGUCACUACCUACGUCAGUGCCAUAUCCUAUAAUGGUGAUGAUAAUGACCAUUAUGAUGAUGAUAAUAAUAAUAAUAGCUUCCACUGGAUGGCACUUUGCACCUUCCAGAGCAAUUUAACAUCCUUUACUUUUUUUGGAAGGCCUUCAGGUCCAGCCUCCUACUCUUCUCUUUCUCUGAACUAUCACCUUACUAUAGGCACAUAUUUCCCCCAAAGGACUCAGUGGCCUCUUUUGUCUCAUUUCUCCCUUUGCUGAUGAUCCAGUAGAGAAAUGAUCAAAAGGAUCCUGCACAUUGUCCUAAAUGAAACCAAGCUUCCUCUGCAGGAUGGAAGUGAGCCAGGUGAUAGAAGGGGGAGCCUGGACCCACCGCUUCAUUGGCCGAGGAUGACCCCAUAAAGGUCAGGGUGUUGCAGAGAUUGCUAUGCACAAAAUCCAAGAGGCCCAUGGAGGUGGGGAGAUGAGGGACCCACCUGGCAGACCCUCAAGAGCAGGGGUCUUCUCUUUGGGGGAGGACAUCACUCUUAGCAGGGCUGGGGUGAGUCAAAAGUCUGGGAGAAUGGAGGUGUGGAGGGGAUAACUGGGUCAGACCCCAAGCAGGAAGGGCCUCUAUGUAGACGGGUGUGUGGCUCCUUAAGGUGACCCAGCAGCCCUGGGCACAGAAGUGGUGCGUGGAGAUAAUGCCAACAGUGAUAACCAGCAGGGCCUGUCAGAAGAGGCCCUGGACACUGAAGGCUGGGCACAGCCUUGGGGACCGCUCACAGGACAUGCAGCAGUGUGUGCCGACAACUCCCUACCGCGACCCCUAUCAGUGCCGACCAAGCACACAAGAUGCACACCCAGGCUGGGCUGGACAGAGGGGUCCCACAAGAUCACAGGGUGUGCCCUGAGAAGGUGGGGAGCUCACAGCCUCCAAGCAUUGCAUCAUCCUGGUACCAGGAAGGCAAUGGGCUGCCCCAUACCCACUUCCCUUCCUAGAAUUGGCCUGGGACAUUCAUUAUUUAGCCACCUCUGGCACCUGCAUUUGUUUUUCAAAUUUUAAUAGCAAAUAGGCUUAGUGUGCUGGGCAGAGCUGAGCAGAGGUGAUCUGACCCCUCUACCUACUCACAUAAGAUCAGUAAAGAGAAGGAAGCAGGCAGAUGAGGUGACAAGGGGAGAAACCAGUGAGGUCAUCUAUAGGUCCAAGUUCGUACAGACCCAGCCAGACUGCCAGUUCUCUGAGGAGCUAGAGACUUGUGGCUUAAGGAAGCCUCUCUGAUGGAUGUACUAAUAUGUAUGUACCUUAUACAUACAUUUGAAUUACCUGUAAAUCUUGAUCAAACUCAGAUGACUGUCCAACUCAUCCAGAAACUACGUUUGUCUAAUAGAACAGGAAGCAGGUGGUGGUGGUGGGUGGUGGGGGGGCAUUGAUGAGAGGCAGGGCCAGUGUUUCUUCUUCAUUUUCCAUUCCACUGAUUCUGUCCCCACACAGGCAUCCAAAGGGAAGAAUGCUACAGCUACAGUCCAUUUCUCGCUGGCUUUUCUGGGAGAUCACCCUACAAUGUGUUCCCCAGUAUUCAGGUUUCUGGGCUGCCAUUAUCUUCUCUGGUCUCGGGGCCCAAGCCAAAGAGCUGGAGAACAGUAUCUGGCCACAGAACCUAAGGCCUGGUAGAGCAAGACAGCCAUGUGCAAGGCGAGUGGAUAGCGCCCUUCCGUCACUCCCACAGAGCUGCAGGGGUGUGACGCCCCUGCCCAGCCAUACCCUUCUGGGCCACAGUGCUGGAGGCUGAAGUCAAAGCCCAUCGUGCCUUAUUCCUUCAGGAGCAAUACUCCUGGGAAAGGUUGCACAUUCUGUAACUCCUCUAAGUGAUAUUUCUUCCCAGGGGCAAAAAAGGAAAUUAGCCCCAUUUUAUAGAUAAAGAGCCUGAGGCCCAAUAGGCUGAUUGACUUGUCCGGGGCCACCUAGCCAGCAGGUGAAAAGACUCAUGUGUAGCUGACUUUAGAGUCCAAGCUCCUUCAACGUCCCACUUUCUCAAGACAGUGUUUGCCACGGGCCAGGGCUAGCAAAAAGACCCCUCCAACCCCUCAUACCUCCCCACCAACCCCAUGCAGGUGUCAGUGAGGCCCAGGAACAUGAAGCUCCCCGGACCAAAGGGGUGGACAGCACUGAAGGAAACCGCUCAACCUUGAGUGGAGAGGCUGCUGUGAAACAGCUCUGGGCAGCACCUGGGCCACAGCAUGUGGAAGGAGACAUGUUCCUAAGCUGCCUGGUACUCUGCCAUCUGUCUUCUCUUCCUCCUAAUCCAUAAGCACCAGACCUCAAGCCCCAUGUGCAGCUCCGGAAGCUGCUAGACCUCAAGCAGGACUAAGAUUCGGAGAGAGCAGCCACCGACCUGGCUCCUCCCAGGCAGGCCAGCCCAGGUGAGCCCCUCCAGCCAGGCACUCACCCCACUGCCAGGCUGUUUACUCUUAGCUGGUGUUUGUCUCCUGUCUGCUCUACUGUAGCUCCCUCCCUCCUCUCCUCCUUUCGGUCCUCUGCCCAGGCCUGCCUGAGGCUGCCUGCCAGUGAGAUUGCAUGUCAGGGCUUUGCCCUGGGCACUGAGGGCUAGGGUGCCCAGAGGCCUGCGGCUGUGCCCUGGAUGGAAAACCAGCAGCCUGCAAAGCUGUGGGGGCAGCACAGGACCUGUGUGUGAGAGCGGUGGUCUUGAGAGUGAAAGUGGACAAGUCAAGCCCAGGCGGGGAGGGGACAGGGGGCAGGUAGGGAUAGGGCAGGUGAGGUUCCCGGGGCCAGUUCCCCCAUUAUGCACUGCCUCUGCUUCCCCGCCACCAUUAACCGUGCCUCUGUGGGCUGACAGAUGUGCCUUCAGAGAAGGGCAGGGAGCAGCUGGGGGCCUGGCCAGAGCAAUCAUCCCAGCAGGAACUUACAUCAGAGCAGGCAGCCUACCCAAGAGCCAGGGAAGGAAGGAGAGCCCCUGAGAAAAAAUGGCAGAAGAAUGGAAGGGACUACGUGUAUUGAUGGAAUAAACCAGACACCCCACACUUCCCAACUCCUCAGGACAGGGUUCAGAGCUAGGCUGGUGGCUGCUACACAGAGACAGCACCCUCCACCAGUUAAGGUAUAAGACAAGGUAUAAGGCUGAUGGGCUGUAGGCAUCAAACCUGGAACUCACAGUCGGGGCACCUCACUUCAAGCCUUGGUGGAUAGGUAAGAUGAACACUCAGGCUCCCAAGUUAGACAGAUGAGCUGGAUCCUUCAUCUACCACCAAUUUCCUGGCUGUGUGUCUGGGAGCAGCUCUUUAACCUCUCCAAGCCUCAGUUUCUUCACUGGUAAAAUGUGUAUGAUGACAUUGUAUGGCCAACCUGGGGUUGCUGAUGGAACUAGUUAAAAGAGUGUCUGUGAAGCAAGCCUAGCUGGGUGGGCUUGCAAGCAUUUCUGGGUCGCUGCAUCCUCCUCUGUAAAAUGGGAGAACCCUGAACUGCUCAGCCGACCUCAUGGUUGACUCACUCAGCAACAGAGGUCUCCACAGGAGCCCUGCCCACAUGAGACAUCUUUGGCACAUCUUCUGAAACAAGACCUGUUUCUGGAAAGUUGUUGGUAAACAUCCAAUUUUGCACUUAUUUAUAUUAUUGUUUCAGAAACACUACCUUCAUUCUGCUUUGAUUCAAUGGCAGCCAAUUUAAUUCAUUUGGUCCAAACCUGUAGUGCUACUUGCCAGAACAAAAUGGAAUGAGCCUCAUUCCCUGCCCUCAAGGAGCUCACAGUCCAGUGGCUCUGUCUUUAAUAUCUAUAAGAGCACAGGUAAGUGUCACAGGAAGCCAUGGUCCUUUGGGGGAAAUGAAGAACACUCUUGUAAUAUGAUUAAUCACUUCCAAAUACUUUACCUGGUUUGUAAGUUCUCUUUCGGGUGCUUCCCUGAGUGGCAAGAGGGAAAGGCCUUUUGCAAGUACUGACACCGCUUUCUUUUUUUUUUUUUUUUUUUUUGAGACAGAGUUUCGCUCUUGUUGCCCAGGCUGGGGUGCAAUGGUGUGAUCUCGGCUCACCACCUCUGCCUCCUGGGUUCAAGCAAUUCUCCUCCCUCAGCCUCCUGAGUAGCUGGGAUUACAGGCAUGUGCGACCAUGCCUGGCUAAGUUUAUAUUUUUAAUAGAGAUGAGGUUUCUCCAUGUUGGUCAGGCUGGUCUCAAACUCUUGACCUCAGGUGAUCUACCCACCUCGGCCUCCCAAAGUGCUGGAAUUACAGACGUGAGCCACUGCGCCCAGCCUUACACUGCUUUCUUAAUUACAGCAGUGUGCUCAUCUCACAUAAAAAUUUAAGACGGGAAAACAGGAAGAUGCAUUCUGAGAAGUUAUAUCAGCCCCUCUGCCUCUCUACAUUCCAAAACAGCCUUUUAUUCUAAUUAUUUUACUAGUGAAUUAUGGAAUAAAGUAGUAUUAUGUUUCUUUCUACACAACUUGUGUUGCACUAGGUGAAAUCUCAGGCUAACAGAGCUUCAGGGAGGAAAGGCCAGACCAAAAAUAUGCCUCACUCCACAGAGAAGCUGUACCACCAGAAGUCCUGGAAAACUGAGAGGUUUGCAUGUUGUAACAAUGCAACUCAAGACUAUCAGAAUGAUAUGAAUAUUUGUAUAGAUACUUAUCAAAGCAACAAUCAGAGAUCAGGUCCCUCCAAAUGAGCUUACAGUUUAUGAUCCUGCUUUGUAAAAGCUGGUGAAACAAAAUGAUGGAUAGCAGAUUUGCUGAGCUCCAAAGUCAGGGAGUAGGUAAACAGUGUGAACGUGUCAGCUCCCUCCUGGCUCUCCUCUACAUUCUGUGAGCAAACGGAAAAAUAAACCAUCGGAAAAAGUCUCAGCCUAAUAAAACUGCACAGACAGAAUAACUUCUUCAUCAGAUUCAGAAGAGUAGCAGGGGGUUUCUCGCUAGCACAGAUUUGAGCUCUGCCAUCACACACUUUGUACAUACAAUUCUGGGAUCUCAGGUAUUGCUCCUAAAGAAAGAGCCAGCUUCCUUCUCUUAUCUUCCUCCAACAUCCAAAAGCAGUGUUCACACCCAAUCCCAUGCUUUCUAAUAUUAAAAUAUGAAUUUAAGAAAUACCAGUGAAAAGAGAUUUUUUAAACCAGAAACUCUUUGUGUUGUAAUGUUCUUGAUAUGUUAAUAAAACUGUUUUCAAUCAUCAUCAGAGAAAAACAAAUUUACCUCUGAUCAUGGUAGCACAGUAGAGCAGAAAGAGCACUCAAUUGGUGAUCAAAAGAAAUAAAUUCUAGUCCUGUCACCCAGAAACUAUGUGACCAGGGGAGGUACUUAAUCUCUAAGAGAAUCAAGUCUCGAGUGGGUAAAAUGAGCUGGGGAAGGAGUGAACCAGUGAGAAAGAACACUGGUCUGUCUGGGGCUCCCAGAAGACACAGCCAGACUUCUUUCUUGCUCUUGUCCAAACACCUCCUUGUCUUUUAAGGCCUGGGCUGUCUAGGGGGAUGGCUACUGGCUUGGAGCAAAACCAACGUGUCUGUCAUCUUAAUACACACGGAAUGUGUUGAAAUGAAGGUGUCUGUGUGGAAGGGACAGACCCAGAUCCACUCUGCAUUUGUCCUGGCAAUGGGAGCAGGAAUGAGUCCACCUUCUCUAAACCUGGUCACUCCUAGUCCCAAGAUGGAGAAGCCACAUCACCCUUGAUCAUGUUAGCCCCAUUCUGCAGCCUCAGGAGGCUCUGACCAGGUGGAAAGCCAGAAUGGGGUCCAACCAGGAGACCCAAGACAGAAAAGGCAGGUGGCUGCAAGGAGCCUCACUUCUCCAGGCAUUGUGACUUUUUAUUAAAAACCCUUACCCAUGCCACCCACCGCAGCCUGGACAGGCAUUCCAGGAGCCAGACAUGUCCCUGGAAGACAGUAGGCUAUUGCUUCCUCUGAGCACUGCAACAAUUUUCUCUGGACCCUCUCCUCCACCUAUUCACAGAUGGGGCAUAACCCUCCCUCCUAUCCAUUAGAUUGCCCAAAUCUGGGAAAAUAAUGUGUGGCGCUCAGGUCUGAGUGCAGACCAAGCUCCCAAUACCAGUGGCUCUUUCAGGCUUACAAAGCCUUGGUGGUUUCCACACCCAGCAGUUCCUACCCAGGACUGAGAAGCCCUCAGCAAACACCCAGAUGGCCCUUGUUCACCCUCCUGGAAACCUAUAGCUGCCAGGGAAAUGUGACAUUUUGUGAGGACUAAUUUAACCCGCCUAGAAGAUUUAGGAGCCAAG